UUGCCCCAAACGCCGCGUUUUGCAUGUUGAAGGGCCAAAGGGAACCCUAGUCACAGAGGCACAGACCUCACCCCUAUCCUCUCUCGAGCUUCCACUCUCACUCUCACCUCUCACCUCUCACCUCUCACGUUUCCAGUCUCCACUCUCACUCUCCGUCCAGCCACCGCCACUUCCGUCCAACCACCGCUGCCGUCGCAACUUCCAACUUUGAACAGCCACCGCCUGCUCCCUCACUUCCCUUCCUUCGCGCAGCAAACGUCGCAAACUUCCUUCCCUCCAUCGCGAAGCCACCGCUCGAUCGUUAAAGCCUCCAUCGCGCAGCCACUGUCUUGCCGCGCCAGCUCUGUUCCACUGCGCUCCUGUCCCUUCAGCGGCGUCUGCUCUGUUCCAUCGCGCGGCCCUUCCCUCGAAGAUUAUUCCCUGGAAUUUCCCUCUUCCCAUGUUUGCUUGGAAGCUCCAUCUCCCUCUCCCUCUCCCUCUCCCUGUUCUGUUCGAAUUUCAGAACAUGCUCCAGCCUAAGAAAGAGAAUGGAAUUGAGGUAUAUCAAUUUACAGGUAGCUAUAAAUUGAAAAUAAGACACUCAUUGGGCAGAGCUCCUUUGUUACUUCAGAUGCAAUACCUGAGAUUAAGAAUUGAAUGGAAGAUGAGCAAUAUUGAGUUUCUUUUCGUUUGAUUGUUUGAAUAUGAAUUCAAGAUUUUGUAAAACUGACUUUUACUAGGAAUCUUACAGCUUGCUCAAUAUGUUUCAGUUCCUCCUAGGCUGAGCCAACAUACUGAGCAUGACAGAUUCAUGUUAUGAUAUAAAUAUGGAAUAGAAGGAAUGAUCUCAAAUGGUUGAUUGGUGCUCACCUCAUCAGUGGCCUCAAUACACCAUCUCUCUAAUUUACCCAAUCCUACCUUUACAUACUCUCUAUUGCUGAAUGAACAACACUCAAAAUGUUAGUAUUUUCUAUGCAGCAAAUUGACAUGUAAUAUGAAGAUGGUGAAUAAUU